rnacentral:rRNA from 1 species
UACGAAGGGUGCAAACGUUGCUUGGAAUUAUUGGGCGUAAAGCGCACGUAGGCGGCUUAGCAAGUCGGAUGUGGAAUCCCUCGGCUCAACCAAGGAAGUGCAUCCGAAACUGCUGAGCUUGAGUACGAAAGAGGAUCGCGGAAUUCCCGGUGUAGAGGUGAAAUUCGUAGAUAUCGGGAGGAACACCAGUGGCGAAGGCGGCGAUCUGGGUCGAUACUGACGCUGAGGUGCGAAAGCGUGGGGAGCAAACAGG